rnacentral:rRNA from 1 species
UACGAAGGGGGCUAGCGUUGCUCGGAAUUACUGGGCGUAAAGGGCGCGUAGGCGGACAGUUUAGUCAGAGGUGAAAGCCCAGGGCUCAACCUUGGAAUUGCCUUUGAUACUGGCUGUCUUGAGUUCGGGAGAGGUGAGUGGAAUGCCGAGUGUAGAGGUGAAAUUCGUAGAUAUUCGGCGGAACACCAGUGGCGAAGGCGACUCACUGGCCCGAUACUGACGCUGAGGCGCGGAAGCGUGGGGAGCAAACAGG